AUGGAGCUGCCCCAGAGUCAAUUUUCUUGGAAGCAAUGCAAAGCAGAGCUUCCUGGGAGAAGACACAAUGCCUCCUAUUGUCUCUGUCACUUCCCCUCCAGCCUCCCAUCGUUUCUGCGUCUCCUCGGGAGCCACUGCCCUGUGCAAAAGCUGUUUGCUGAUGCCCAGCCGCGGUUUCCAAAACCCCCAUGAGUAGUCGUUUCUGUCCACAGUCAUUGUUUCCAGACCAGCCAAGCCGAAUGGGGAGGAGAGGCCAGGCCCAGGGAGAGCAGGAAGAGACCCAGCGUGCAACACAGGCCCCCGGCGGCUGGUGUCGGCUCGUGGAUUGCUGGGGGGCAGCUGGUGCCAACCCUGCUAGACGUGUCCAGGAUCGGGUCAGAGGCCAGGGUGGCUCACAUCCACAGGCUCCAGGAGGAGGCUCUCGAGGCCCCAGGUUCCUGGAGGAUGACAGAGUGUGGAUUAUCCAGUGA